rnacentral:rRNA from 1 species
ACGCUGGCGGCAGGCUUAACACAUGCAAGUCGAACGGUAACAGGGAUUAGCUUGCUAAUUUGCUGACGAGUGGCGGACGGGUGAGUAAUGCUUGGGAAUCUGGCUUAUGGAGGGGGAUAACUACGGGAAACUGUAGCUAAUACCGCGUAAAAUCUUAGGAUUAAAGGGUGGGACUUUCGAGCCAUCUGCCAUAAGAUGAGCCCAAGUGGGAUUAGGUAGUUGGUUAGGUAAAGGCUGACCAAGCCGACGAUCUCUAGCUGGUCUGAGAGGAUGACCAGCCACACUGGAACUGAGACACGGUCCAGACUCCUACGGGAGGCAGCAGUGGGGAAUAUUGCACAAUGGGGGGAACCCUGAUGCAGCCAUGCCGCGUGAAUGAAGAAGGCCUUCGGGUUGUAAAGUUCUUUCGGUGACGAGGAAGGUUGAUAGGUUAAUAGCCUAUCAAAUUGACGUUAAUCACAGAAGAAGCACCGGCUAACUCCGUGCCAGCAGCCGCGGUAAUACGGGGGGUGCGAGCGUUAAUCGGAAUAACUGGGCGUAAAGGGCACGCGGGCGGUGACUUAAGUGAGAUGUGAAAGCCCCGAGCUUAACUUGGGAAUUGCAUUUCAUACUGGGUCGCUAGAGUACUUUAGGGAGGGGUAGAAUUCCACGUGUAGCGGUGAAAUGCGUAGAGAUGUGGAGGAAUACCGAAGGCGAAGGCAGCCCCUUGGGAAUGUACUGACGCUCAUGUGCGAAAGCGUGGGGAGCAAACAGGAUUAGAUACCCUGGUAGUCCACGCUGUAAACGAUGUCGAUUUGGGGAUUGGGCUUUGAGCUUGGUGCCCGUAGCUAACGUGAUAAAUCGACCGCCUGGGGAGUACGGCCGCAAGGUUAAAACUCAAAUGAAUUGACGGGGGCCCGCACAAGCGGU